AACGAACGCUGGCGGCAUGCCUAACACAUGCAAGUCGAACGAGAUCUUCGGGUCUAGUGGCGCACGGGUGCGUAACGCGUGGGAAUCUGCCCUUUGGUUCGGAAUAACAGUUGGAAACGACUGCUAAUACCGGAUGAUGACGAAAGUCCAAAGAUUUAUCGCCAGAGGAUGAGCCCGCGUAGGAUUAGCUAGUUGGUGUGGUAAGGGCGCACCAAGGCGACGAUCCUUAGCUGGUCUGAGAGGAUGAUCAGCCACACUGGGACUGAGACACGGCCCAGACUCCUACGGGAGGCAGCAGUGGGGAAUAUUGGACAAUGGACGAAAGCCUGAUCCAGCAAUGCCGCGUGAGUGAUGAAGGCCUUAGGGUUGUAAAGCUCUUUUACCCGGGAUGAUAAUGACAGUACCGGGAGAAUAAGCUCCGGCUAACUCCGUGCCAGCAGCCGCCGUAA
rnacentral:rRNA from 1 species